UCCUGUUUCGUGGCUUUCAUCGUGGUAAUGGAGGAUCUAUGAUCCGUGAAAACAAAGAAUGACCAUUUGAAAAAAACACAUUGGAUUAUAUAAACUGUAUCCAGCAGAUUGUUACUCAAGAUGAGAAAGAGGAGGAAUGGAGCCAUCAUCCUUGCCAUGCUACAUUAGGAGAAUCAACACUGUGGCUCGGCCAGGCCAGGCGUGGCUACCCUGAGACAAGCACAGUUCCCGUUUUAUCUCCACUCAUGGGCUUCUGUGUACCGCUCUGUCGUGUCUGAUUGCUGCCAGAAUAAGAGCUCUGUGGGAAGACCUGUGGAAUGGAGUCUGCCAAGAAGAAUCGAACCAAGGCUUUAGUUCACGGGUUAGUCGACAUAACUGUGCCACAGUGGAACAAAACAACAGGCCUGUUCAUUUGGGUCAGUGUGGAGAUCUAGGAUGAAUUCUAGCAUACUAGGAAUCUGCUGUGGGCAAAAUACUGGGCUAUGACCCGUCAUUCUCUAAUCAGUGAAUGUAUCUGCUCUACCUUGUAUCAUAGGGAAAUUCAAAUGUUAAUACAAUUCAGACCUUAGUGUAAAUUACCAUAUUAUUUCUAAAAUGUAUUCUUUUGGCAGAUGUUUUAUUCAAGGUGACAUUGGUAUUCACAUUACAGCAUGACAAUAUGCUGAAUGU